rnacentral:lncRNA from 1 species
UUGCUCUUCUGAAUGAUGUGAACCAACAGCUCCGUCAUUAUGCAGCAGCAGCUGGAUUUCUGAACAAGCAGCCUGAAGAAAAAGUAAAUUCUUUCCAGGAUAUCAUGAGCAUACAGAUGACUCCUAAAUCCAGGGAGCUCGUACCUGUGGCCACCUCCAGCUUUUCUGCAAGGGAAUUGGUAAUAUACCAAUACGGCAUCGUUCUUCUGCAGUUCCUCCGGACUCACAUUGGUGGUCCAGAGGUCAACCUGGGUGUUGCAUCCAGCAUUCCUUCAAGCGAUGCACCUGGGAACGCCUUUCGCAACACUUUUUACUAUCAGAUUCCCGAACAGAAGCUGUUUGUUUUAAGAGAGUGCCUGAGUUGCAUUGGGAGCUUUAUCCUGCUCCUUGUGCACUGCCUAGCCCAUAUUGCCGCUGAUGACCUCAGCCAAGACUCCAGCCCAGCUUUUCAGAGACUCUUUUACCAGGCACUGAAAGCCUGCCUGGGUGAAAUGUUCUCUCUGCGGCUCCAGACGUCAGCAAUGGUGGAGGAGACUAAAUCUGCUGUCAGGAUGAUUAACAAGGUUUUCCUGAACAAAGAGGUGAUCACCGAUGAGAAAAUCAAUCUCCUCUCAGGGCUUUUUGAAUCUAAAGUGAAGCCUUCUGCAGACUCCGAGAAGCAACAUCAAGAGUCCUGGCGUGGCACAGAGAUUGAGGAUUCGCUCAAGACUAAACGGUCCCCCAAGAAAGAGGAAUGUCACUCCAGCGUCUUCCCCAAUGGGAGCCAGGAAAUCCUUCCACCAAAGAGGUAAGAACUGAGAAGGUGGGUCUGGUAUGGUGUGACUUGGUC